ACCUUCAAAGGGUCUUAAAAACCCAAAACGAUUUGAUAGAAGGCAUAAAUAUAAUUAACCAUAAUGUAAGAUAAUCACUUUUCAACAUGUGCUGUAACCCAAACAAAAUUUUAAGCAAAGCAAGAAGUUGGUUAAAAAAAGAGUACAUGUAUAAUUUUCAUUGUCCUUUUACAUUAGCAAACCACCAUUGUUCAAAACCAAAUCCACAUCUCCGAGGUAUUGGAACAGGUUCAGCAAAACUUAUGUCGUAUUUGAAAUCAGCCGUUAAUAAAAGUGAAAUGGAAGCGCAAAAUAUGAUGGUACGAGAAUGCAAAGUGGUUGCAAAGAAGAUUGAGAGGUCGGUUUGUCGAAUGACUGGAGAAAUUUCUGACAAAUUUAGAUGACAUCGCCAGUUCUCUACCACUGCAGUCCGAUUGCGCCACAUAUAUCAUAAAAUUAAAAGGUGUAUCUGAGGACGUAGGCAGCGUCAUUAAACAUUUAUUUACGGACGAAACAUUGCUGCAAUUCAACUGGGACGGAAGAUGGGAGAGAAAGCCACUGAACAAACUCAUACUGGUUGACACAAUCGUACGAGAUGCAUUUAAAAGGUGCAGUUGAGUUGGAAAAGGAUAUCAAAAAGGCAGUUGAAAUCCAUAAUUUUAAGACUAUUUAAUAUUAGAUUUAAGUAUGUACAUAUGAACGCCAGUGGCAGCAAUAAUAUAAACGCCUUAUUUUGAUUAAUUUUUCGCUAAAUUACCUUUAUUUUUUUAACGUUUAAUGAUUAUUUAAUACUC